GACAGGGUCCAGGUUUCCUACAGGGCUGGAUGGGGCUCGUCACACCACAGGAACUCUGCAGGACCUGGGGACAGCUUCCAGUUGGUCCCAGACCCUGGGAAGACCCAACCACGGUUAAGGCCGUGCUCUGGGAAACUUGGAUUGGUUUGAGAGGACUCAGGUCAGCAGGAACCCCUUCAAGUGUGAUUUCUCCCACCUCCCCACUUCCUGUUCAGAAGACCAUCUGAGGAAACCAGUGCUCUAUAAGGACAUGUGGAUGGUGGGGCUACUGACAAACCCCGAAGGGAGUGCAGCCUGGUGCCUCUUGUUCUACCAACAUUGUCUCUCUGGUGAGGUUGUGAGCUACGGACACGAGGCUGAGUUUUACAGACCGAGUUGGAGAGACACAUGGAUACAGGGGCUUUCAAAGGAAAAUCUUUCGGGGUCAAGGGCCCCGAAGAAAAUGAGUCCCCAUUCUGUAUCACGUUGCUAGC
rnacentral:lncRNA from 1 species